UGAGGAAUAUUGCGCAAUGGGGGCAACCCUGACGCAGCAACGCCGCGUGAGUGAGGAAGGUUUUCGGACCGUAAAGCUCUGUCGAGCGGGAAGAAAUGCGUGGUGGCUAAUAUCCAUCAUGCUUGACGGUACCGCUAAAGGAAGCACCGGCUAACUCCGUGCCAGCAGCCGCGGGAAUACGGGGGGUGCGAGCGGUGUUCGGAAAUAUGGGGCGUAAAGAGCGUGUAGGCGGCCGAAUAAGUCAGAUGUGAAAUCCCUGGGCUUAACCCAGGACGUGCAUUUGAAACUAUUCGGCUGGAGUAGGGGAGAGGAAAGUGGAAUUCCUGGUGUAGAGGUGAAAUUCGUAGAUAUCAGGAGGAACACCGGUGGCGAAGGCGACUUUCUGGCCCUAUACUGACGCUGAGACGCGAGAUCGUGGGUAGCAAACAG
rnacentral:rRNA from 1 species